UGUGUCCUCUAGCAACAGAUAGAUGUGGUUCUGUUGAAGCUGUGAUCCUGUGGAAGGGUCUGGUCAUCCUCUGAAGGUCCAGCAGUGGUCAUCAAGCUCUUGUCCUCUGGGAAUGCAGUAGCACCUUCAUAAGCAUCAAUGUCAUGAAAUUUCAACAAAGGUUUGAAGAUUAAAGACUGACACGAUCAGUCAGAUUCUUCACAAAACAUAUUUGGGAACAUUUAACAAGGAGAACUCAAAAGGUCACAGUCCAGUUUCCUGUGGGCAUAGAAAGCAGCAGACUUCAGAUGUAUCAAGCUGAGAAAUAAGCUUCAGAGGAAGAUGUGAUAUUUCAAACAGUGAGGGAAGAAAGUAAUAUUUGAGCUUUUCUUAAGGGUCUGGAAUAUUUUACUCGUCAUGUUCUAUGUCUCCUGACACAGAGUCAGCAUCCUGCACUCAGCAGCUCCUCACCUCAGUACCAUCUGUAAGACUGAAGUCUUCCCAUCUUCAACCUCUGCUCUUUCUCUGCAGACCUGGUGCCCUUUAUCCACAGAAGAGACAGAACAGAUCAAUCAUUAAAGCAGUGCUGUUGUAGGGCUGGUACAGAGAAUAGCCAGGUGGACAACUUCAAAAGGAAUUACCAACUGCUGUCCACAUUUCCAGACAAAAAUGAGAAUUUGGCAGCUUUAGCCUUUGGCAGCUUUUUGUCUGAUGGCCAUUUGUUCCCUUUUCUGGUGCUCCAUCUGCUCCCUCUGGUAGGAUCCACCAAAGAUUCAACUGUGGGAAUAUGCAGCUAAAGCUACCAAUAAACACCCUGUAAUAUCUCCCAUGUAGUAACACUUGGGGUUUGGAAACACAACUAUGAAUUCCCUUUUAUUAGAGCUGGGACAGCAGACAAGAAGAAAAAAUAAUAGACAUGAACUGGUCACUCAACACAGCCAGCAAACAAGUGGAAGUCUGAAGUGCAUUUAAGGCUCAAGAUUUCACUAAGCCAGAAAGAAGUAGCAAAACCAGACCUAUAUUAGUGGACAUUUUACUUCUUUGAAGCACAAUGAGAAACCCAGCUUGUAAUCCCUGCUAUGGCCCUGUCCGAAGUCAGAACCUCAUGCCUGAUUGCUCUCUCCUCUGCUCUGCUCAUCCUGAAUUCUCCAUCAACUGAACUACUACAACAGGAAAAUAUAAAUCAUUGUCCUGAAAGGGACAAUAAUUUAUCAUCCAGAAUCUCUCCUGUUAGAGCCUAAGUAGGAAGAUGAAUGAAUGAAACUUGAGACUUCCAUAUCUGAAGUCCACAUAUUCAGAUUUAAGACCAUUUACUGUAAAAGGAAAUACCAUCCCCCUGCAAACAGACCCUUCCAUAUUCCUGUGAGGGGGACAGCAGCAACUCACCAUCAGUAAUAGAUUCAGUAAUACAUUCACAAGAGUUGACUUUGAGGAGGCAUUACUGAAUUUCUGAGAUUUUUCAGCUGUUCCCACUGCUCUCAGCAUUUCCUUACUGACCAGCACCAGGCUUCUCACUGUACAUUGUUUAUACUCCCCAGACACUCAAGUCUCCCAAGGGCUGCACAGGCAAAUUUACACCAUGUUAUGGUUCCCCCUUCCCAUCCUACACCUACAUUUCAGGUGCCUCAACACCCAACUUCUGAGUCCCUUUCUGACCCAAAUUCAGAGUUUUUCACUUCAGAUGAGAACUGAAAUACGCAGCUUUGAGAAAAGAGCCUGCCCAACAUAACACAACUACAUAUACAUAUUUUAGGUUUUCUUUAUUUAUAUUUUUAAAUUCAAGAAUUACACACUAGCCAACAUUAUUAUAUAUUUACAUGCUGAAACUGGCUGCAAUAAUUUUAAAUUCAAGAAAAUAUCUCUUAUGUGCUACUCAUUUACAAUCAUCAUUUUACUACCUCAUAUAUCCCAGAGGUUAGCAGUCCUUUUGAGAAAGACAUGAUGAUCUGAUGCAAUGAUAUCCACUAGUAUUUUGCAUUUUCUAGCCAUUGGAAAAUGUGCAUUAUGUGCAUAUAAGAAAGGCUACAAGGUCAUUAGUAAGGCUGAUGAUAACUACAUUAUGAAAUAAAUAGUACUAAGUAAAAGAUAACUCAGAACUGUGCAAAGACAGUACUAACAGAACCAUUUAAACACCCAUGCCAAUAAAAAUGUGAUAGAAGUCAAAUCAUAGGCAGUUUGUCAGAAUUAAUCAUGUUUCAAAUGUUCUUUUUGUCUUCAACUGAAAGCAACAGGACAGACCAUGAACCAUACAGCCUGGUGAGUAUCUGCCAAAUGACAGGAACAGUGAAAACAUACAAAAUGCUAUCAAAUUGGAAUAGAUGACCUCAUGUCUGAAAACAUUAAAAAAAUACAACCCUUCAUAUGAAAGUAGAGGUGAGUUUUUUCAUCAUUUAAGUUUCAUUUUUUUUGUCAAAGCACUUACAAAGAAAAUAAUUUUAUAUUUAUGAAAUGUUAGUGUUGCAUAUUCUUGUAGACAUGAUCUACUUCAAUUUUAUAUAAUGGAUAUUUAAAUUAUUAGUAUUUUUACAAAGUAGAAUAGGGCAGUCUUUUUGAUCAACAACAUUCCAUUUGCUUCUUAAAAAUUUAGACAAAGUUCCUAGUGCAUUUUACUAAGCUUUACCUUUGGUGUUAAGCAGUGACUUUUUAGAUUUCCCUUUUUAAACAAUUUCUGGAGUGAAGAUUCUUUGGCUUUUGGGGGACUACGCUCUCUGACGACAGUCAAACAUCCUGGGUUUUUUUAAAAGAAAAAUAUAAGCCUACUAUUAAAUACCAUAAGAGACAGAUUUCAGAAUCAGACAGAUGCAAUAUGCAGGCUUCUGUAAUGAAAUCGCCAACAGCUGAAUUCUCACUUACUCCUGACACCUUCACCUCUCCUCUCACUGAAGCAACAUAAAGGUGCCUUAUUGUAAGUGAAAACCAGGCCCUGUUUUGUGUGGCCUGAACAUUUUAACCACACAAAAGAAUCAGCUGUGCCAGCAGGAACAUUGCCACCGUGGCUAUUUUACACUACAGCACUUCCUGUACUAUUUUAUAUCUGGAGUCCAAAUCUGUUUAUGCAAAAGGGUGUUUAAAUUACUCUGCUAGAGCACUGCAAUUAUUGUACUUAGUAAAAAAAGUCACUAAACAAAUACUGUAUCUAUCGACUGCUCAUUUACAGCUUAUUUAAUUAUUUACAUAAUUUUAGGACACAUUAACCUAAACCAUAAGUAGAAUUAGCUUUUUGCCUUACCAUAAAGUACAAAUUAGAAGUUAAAAAUGUUUAAGAAAUCUGAUAAUAUUUACACACGUUCAGCUUAAGUUAUGGUUGCUCACAUUGUAUGUUCUAUGUACACAUAGCAAAAUGUUUUGAUCACUACUGAUAUAGUAUUGUACCCUGGCCAUCCCACCCUAGAUUAUUUUCUAGAAAUAGUUACUAUUUUUGCCUUUUUUUUUUUUUUCUUGGUUCCCUACGGAAUUUGUUGGUUUUGAAAACUUACUAGUAGACAAUGCUGUUAUAAAAAGAGAGAGGAGAAAUAGGCAAGCAAUGUGAGGACUAGUCUAAUUCCAGAUGCAAGGAGGUACAGUACUAUCAUCAUGUCAAAUGGUGCAAUACUCCAUAUGGAUCAUAAGCAUUGAUCUGCUGAUAUAGAAAUGCCCAGUUACCCUGUAGAGUAAGUUUGUUUUUUUUCUAAAUACAAUAAUAUUUUAAUUUUUUUUUUCUCAAAAAUAUAUUCAUACACUGGUUGAUGGUAGAAACAAAACUAUUAUUAGCUUAUUCCUUUAACACACCAACAUGUGAAUGUGUGUGCAUAUAUAUAUAUAUAUAUACUCAGCACGUGUAUAUAUACACACAUAUGUCCAUACAGACAUUUGGGGGUAUGUCCAUAUGCACAUACAGCUGGAAAAUGUUUCACAUCCAUUCACUUAUGUUUAACACUGUGUUAUAGGACUGGAACACAGUCUAAUAAUUAUAGUGAAAAUUAAUUGAGGUUUAAUUUUAAUGCAUGUUUUUUUUCUGAAAUAAAUAGGAUAUUUUCCCCAGGUGUAAGACCACCACUCAUUUUCUCUAUGCAUUGUGCUUUAGUACCUUACAGAUUUUAUGGGGUUUUUCUUAAUUAGAAUGUAAGGACUCUGAAGAACUCUGCCACAUGCUGUUAUCUGGGACUCUGUUUUCCUCCCCUGGGAAUGAGAAAAUAAAUGGUCACAAUGUCAUUGCUUGAGUCUUUCUUCCCGGUCACCGAACUGCGAUAGGCUAGAAACAUAACAUUCCUUAUGCAAACACAGAAAUAUGUUGCAUGAAUUUUCAAUUCUGAAAAUGUGUAUCAUACUUACUAGCAGUCAUGUACAGUAUAUAUUUACAGAUUGAGCUCAAAGAUUUCAUUAAAACUGUGCCAUGUUAUAGUCAUAAUUCCCCCAUGAAUUUCACAAAAAUGAAAAACACCUUAAUUGCUGGCUAUUAUGUCUAAUAGAACAAUAAAAUGUGCAAUUAUAUUACAGGUUUUAUCUAAAUUAUUAACUUUGCUAUUUUGUUUAUUGAAACCAACAACAAUUAACAUGGUUAAAAAUAUCUAGAAUAUUCAUUUUCGGUCAAUUCUAAAGUAAAAUAAAUUUAUUCUAGUUUACCUGGAGGGUAGCACACAUAGCAAACCCCGUAUCUCAUGUAUGUUGGCAUCAUUUCUCACUUUCACUCAAGUAUCUCAGGAAUAAGUGCUUACCUUGGGCUUGAGUUACGCUUUUUCCAUGAUAGUCCCUCACCAGCCUUUCUCACCCCCAUCUUUUUAUAUCACAGUGUUAAGCCUUAGUACAAAGUGGUAGAAUCUUUCUCUUUCACUAAUUUUAUAUCACAUUAAUAGCCAGAAGAACAUAGUAAAAGCAAAAGUGCUCCUUCCCCACAGAUAAUUUUUCUUUCCUAGUGACACCUGAGCAGAAACCAAACAUUUUCUUUCACUCUCUGAAUAGCAACAUCAGAGAGUAUUAUGGCUUGUACUGUAGCUUCAGAAAAGUGAAUGUGCAGUUCCAGGAUUUGAUCUCUGUGGUUUUUGUAUAGCUGAAGCAGUUACCAAUGCAGAGAG